AUGAGCUCUGCUGCUCUUGUCACCAUCUUCCCAUAACCUGGUCAUCUGCCCUGGUCACUUCAUGUUUUGUAUCUCCUCACACAACACUUGCACACUGCUUUUGGAACAAACUUGAGUCAGCAGGAAAGCAAUAUAUUUUUAUAAGCCUGGUUCCACCAGCCUCACUUCUGUUGAGAAUCACCUUUCCCUGCAGGGCAGAGCAUCUAUUUAGAGCACUGCUGGAGGCAGAGAGGAGCAGGGCAGAGCAGCCUGACAGGAAUGGUCCAGCAAAACUGUUGAGACAACCAGUGGAAUGAAAUCUGCACAUGAGCAGAAUGGAAAAAACAGGAAAUCUCCCAGCAUGCUGAGCAACAGGAGAAGCGUUUCCUCUCCACUAUUACGGGGGGCGGCAGAUCCGCGGUGUUUAUCACCUCUGGUCGCCAGAGUCGGGAUCUGGCCGCUGCCUUCCACCCGCAUUUAGAAUGCACUUUCAUCUCUAGGAUAAACACCAAGGAAUAUCAAAAGCCCUGUUGACAGUACUGCUCUCAUUUUCUGCUUUAAGAAGUUGCCAAAAUGUACAAAAUUAAACUCCCCCA